ACAACUUGGCUUCACUUUGGAACACAUGGCUACGGUGCUGCACGGAAAUGAAAACAACGUUUUGGUAUCCAAGUAUUUAUCUUAAAAAAUUAAAAUAAAUGACUUCCAUUAAACUUGUUGGAAACGGAUAUGUCGCCAAUAUUCAGAUUUGUUUGACCAAAAAAGGUGCCUUGGUUGAAGAUGGAUGCUGUUCCCUGCAGUUGGAACACUACAAGAGUUCAGGAGUCAUUUGCUCGGACUAAGCCUGCCUCAGACACUCUAACAAAGCUGGCAAAACUGGUUGCACAAAAGCAAGAUAGUCAAAGCCAAAACCAACUACUGCCUGAUGUGUGCCCGUGUGUGUGCGCACAGUGCAGCCAGGGAUUCUCUGACAUGGCUGAGUUAUUGCACCACCAGCAGGGAGAACAUGCCUUACGUAAGUGUCAUUGCUGCCUUUCCUGUGGCAAAGAGUUUUCUCUCCUAUCCUCUUUGCAGUUGCACAAGUGCAUUCAUGAUGCUGCUCCUUGUCAGGUCUGUUGUGGUAAAACCCAGCUCGGUGCUCCAUGCAGUGCAUGCAAGGCUUCAACCUCAGACUCUCAGAGUGUCCGGGAUAAGUCCCUUUAUCACCAGUCCCACCAUCAUGAUAGCAGAUCAUAUGCCUGUGCCCCGUGUGGUAAAAGCUUUAGCCAAAAGCAAUCUCUGCUUCGCCAUCAGCAGGCUGGCUGUAGUAAAUCUGCCACGCGAACUGCAAAAGUUGUCAGCCCUCCCGCGGACUCUCCCUCGCCCGAAUCUGCCAUCUUGGACUCCUCUCCCCCUGACUCUCCCCCAACCGAUGCCCCAGAUCCUGACAGGCCAAGUCAAUGCCUGCUUUGCACCAAGAGGUUUCGCUCAGGGGCUGGCCUUGCAUGCCAUCAGCGAUCCACCCAUCGGAAGGAGUGGAUCAUCUCCAAGUAUCCUCUACUAAAAGGAGGAUGCACAAAUGGGGUUCAUAGAUUAUCGAAGCAGAUGGCUGGGCCACCCCAACCAAAAAGAAGUGGCAGAAAGAGCCAGCUCCUCUCCUGUCGUUCCUGUGACAGGGUCUUCCUAAGCACUGCCAAGCUGUACUUGCACAGACAAGAGUCCCACAGCAGAGAGAAGGAUAUCAGAAGAGAUCCAAGGCCGCUGAUUAGCAAGCGGAGGAAAAGGGAGACUUACCCAUGUGACGUUUGUGGUAAAGUGUUCUUGCACCAUUUGUCACUUAAAGCGCACGUCAAAAAUCAUAGUCGAGAACCACCAAGCCAUGUUCAGCAGGUUGGGAAAGCAGCCAAGGAGACCAAGUUAGGUGAGAAGACGCCAAAAAAGCCUAAAGGCAACAUAUCACGGAGGGUGGGAGGAACAUUGGUCAAGGCUCGCAGAGGGAGACCAAAGAAAAUUCCAGAAGAAGAGGGAGAGUUUCCUUGCCCGUCUUGUGCUGAGGUGUUUUCUUUGCAGUCUGCCCUGAAGGAGCAUGAGGAGUUGCAUCAGCCGACAGGGAGUAUGAGACACUGCAGCGUGUGCAGUCAGGGCAUGGGUAUCUCUAAGAAGCCUGGGGCCAAGCUUCGGAGGGCCUACCAUUGUGUUCCCUGCUUGAAGGCUUUUCUAUCACUGGAUAUUUUCUUACAACAUUGCCAAGAUCACCUCGUUGACAGUGGCGAUGAGGAAGGGAGCAAUUUAUGACCCUGACAGCAAAAUGUGAGAUGAUGUACUCUUCCUUUUUUUUUUUUUUUUUUUAACAAGCUGUACUGAGUUCCCAAGAGAAUAUUAUGUGUUCAUGUACAUCUAAACAUAUGUUUAGACCAAUCACCAGAAUAGCUGUUUGAAUGUAAUUCAUAUCAACAGGCGAUUCAAGUUGCAACAAAACAUUUUUUUUUUGUGUGUGUGUCCUGUCUGAUACCAUUCAUUUUGUGACUGACCAACAGUGGUACGCUGUGAAAGCAGUACAGAAACAGUCUUACUAGGCCUAAAUCCUCUUGAUCCUAAAUCCUCUUCAUUUAGACCUUUUAUAUUCCUUUGCAAAUGUUGGAUCGGAUCCAACCAUCCAUUUGUCAUUAUGGUUUAAAUUAAAUGAAUAUACGCAAUAACUCAUUUAGUAUUGUUGCUGCAGCAGUUUUUUUUAAAUCUCAAUAUCAAAUAAUUUCUGGUUAACAAUACUUUACUGUGUUUUUUGUUUUCAAUUCAAAUGGUCAAAAUGGAGCAAAAAUAGCUUCUUAGCAAAGAGCAAUUUCUCAAGCAAGAAUUUAGCUAGGACUGUCUGGAAGUGGUCUGAGUGGGGAGGGAAAAACUGAACGCUGUUAUUGGGAUUGAGGUUUGGAACUCUUUCUUAUUUGCUAUUAAUUAAUUUACCCCACACAAAUUUACUCCAUGACACCAACACUGACAUUUCAGGCCGUCUCUCCAAACAGCUCUUACACUAAAAGGGCAUUAUCAUAAUUUUCAUAAUUUCACUGUAUUAUUCCAGCCUCACAGUGUGGAAAGAUACACGGAGUGUAACAAACACUAUGAACUCCUUCCUGAUAUUGAGAUGCCCCUCCCCCCUCUCUCCUUUUGCCCUCAGAACAGCCUCAAUUUGUCGGGGCAGGGACUCUACAAGGUGUUGAAAGCGUUCCACAGGGAUGCUGUCCCAUGUUGACUCCAAUGCUUCCCACAGUUGUGUCAAGUUGGCUUGAUGUCCUUUUGGGUGGUGGACAAUUCUUGAUACACACGGGGAAACUGUUGAGCGUGAAAAACCCUGCAGCGUUACAGUUCUUGACACAAACCGGUGCGUCUGGUACCUACUACCAUUUUGUGACAACUAUUGGUAAGAGUUGACAAUGCGGUGGAAAAACAUUGAACUUUUAGAUUUUUUUUUAUUUGGUACAGGAAAACUUUUUUACUUUUUUUUUUUAAACUCUUGAUGACAUUGGACUUGUGUGACACUGAUUUAGCAUUAAUUUACUAAUUAUUUAUCUCUGUCCGUCUGUCUGUGUGUGAUGCAUACUCAUGGAGCCAGUUAAGACAAUGUGACGUAAUGUAACAUGGAUAUUAUGCAAAACAAGCAGUGAUUGCAACCUUGCUGCUACUGUUGGUUAGAAAUUAGUUUACCGGGUUAUCCAUUUUCUGCAGUUUAGUAAACCAAAAACAGAAGAAAAUAAGACAUAAAGGGAGACCUUGAGCUUCAACACUCUCUUAGUUGUUGUGGAAAUAGACCCACUAUGCUGUUUUACUUUCUGCAUCUAUGUCAUAUCGCUGAGUCUACCUUUUUUAAAGAAAGUCAUGUUUUAUUUAGGGGAAAAAAGGUUUUUAAGUUUCUACUUCUGGAAAGUGCCUUUUGUGUCCCGAGUUAGCAACCUUGUCUUAGAAAAUACCUCAUUAAAAGUAUUCUCCCAUGA